AAGCAACACUCUGUGGCAGAUGAACAAACUAUCUGACACAAUUUGAGCUUGCUAUAGCAAGAAAGUCUAACCUAUUCCGGUGUUCUCUUCCUCAUGAGACAAGCCGUUAUAUAGGCUCAAACAGU
rnacentral:snoRNA from 1 species